AGAUAAUAGAUACCCGGGUAGUCCCAGCAGUAAACGGUGCGCGUUUGGUGUGAGCAGAUUCGACUCUGUUCGCGCCAGAGCUAACGCGUUAAACGCGCCGCCUGGGAAGUACGAUCGCAAGAUUAAAACUCAAAGAAAUUGACGGGGGCCCGCACAAGCGGUGGAGUAUGUGGCUUAAUUCGAUGCAACGCGAAGAACCUUACCUGGGUUUGACAUGCAUCUCUAAGGAGGUGAAAGCUUCCGAGGGUAGCAAUACCCGAUUUGCACAGGUGCUGCAUGGCUGUCGUCAGCUCGUGUCGUGAGAUGUUGGGUUAAGUCCCGCAACGAGCGCAACCCUUGUAUGCUGUUGCUAUGCUUACGCAUAGCUCUCUGCGUAGACUGCCCCGUGAAACGGGGAGGAAGGUGGGGAUGACGUCAAGUCAGCAUGGCCCUUACACCCAGGGCUGCACACGUACUACAACGCUCAGUACAAUUAGAACCUGCCCCGCGAGGGUUGGGAAAUCAGCGAAAACUGAG
rnacentral:rRNA from 1 species